GACGAACGCUGGCGGCGUGCUUAACACAUGCGAGUCGAACGGAAAGGCCAGGCGGGUGUGGGGUGCUCGAGUGGCGAACGGGGGAGUAACACGUGAGUAACCUGCCCUUGACUGUGGGAUAACUUAAGGAAACUGGGGCUAAUACCGGAUAGGAGCUCCUGCUGCAUGGUGGGGGUUGGAAAGUUUCGGCGGUUGGGGAGGGACUCGCGGCGUAUCAGCUUGUUGGUGGGGUAGUGGCUUACCAAGGCUUUGACGGGUAGCCGGCCUGAGAGGGUGACCCGCCCCCUUCUCCCUGCGAUCCGUCCCGUGCUCCUCCUGGCGGCAGCAGUGGGGCAUAUUGCACAAUGCGCGGAAGCCUGCUGCAGCACCUCCGCGUGCGGGCUGACGGCCUUCGGGUUGUCAACCUCUUUCGCCUGUGACGAAGCGUGCGUGACGGUAAUGGGUAAAGAAGCACCGGCUAACUACGUG
rnacentral:rRNA from 1 species